rnacentral:rRNA from 1 species
ACUCCUACGGGAGGCAGCAGUGGGGAAUAUUGGACAAUGGGGGAAACCCUGAUCCAGCGACGCCGCGUGUGUGAAGAAGGCCUGCGGUUGUAAAGCACUUUAGUGGGAUGAAUGUGCAGGGCUAACACCUCUGCAUUUUGACCUUAACCCACAGAAAAAGCACCGGCUAACUCUGUGCCAGCAGCCGCGGUAAUACAGAGGGUGCAAGCGUUAAUCGGAAUUACUGGGCGUAAAGCGUGCGUAGACGGUUACAUAAGUCGGGUGUGAAAGCCCCGGGCUCAACCUGGGAAUUGGCAUUCGAGACUGCGUAGCUAGGGUGCGGAAGAGGGAAGCGGAAUUUCCGGUGUAGCGGUGAAAAUGCGUAGAUAUCGGAAGGAACACCAGUGGCGAAAGCGGCUUCCUGGUCCAGCACCGACGUUCAGGCACGAAAGCGUGGGGAGC